GAUGAACGCUGGCGGCGUGCUUAACACAUGCAAGUCGAACGGAAAGGCCCAAGCUUGCUUGGGUACUCGAGUGGCGAACGGGUGAGUAACACGUGGGUGAUCUGCCCUGCACUUCGGGAUAAGCCUUGGAAACUGGGUCUAAUACCGGAUAGGACCACAUUUUGGAUGGUGUGGUGGAAAGUUUUUCGGUGUGGGAUGAGCUCGCGGCCUAUCAGCUUGUUGGUGGGGUAAUGGCCUACCAAGGCGUCGACGGGUAGCCGGCCUGAGAGGGUGUACGGCCACAUUGGGACUGAGAUACGGCCCAGACUCCUACGGGAGGCAGCAGUGGGGAAUAUUGAACAAUGGGCGCAAGACUGAUGCAGCGACGCCGCGUGGGGGAUGACGGCAUUCGGGUUGUAAACUCCUUUCGCUAGGGACGAAGCGUUAUGUGACGGUACCUGGAGAAGAAGCACCGGCUAACUACGUG
rnacentral:rRNA from 1 species